GGGUUUUUUUUUUUUUUAAAAAAAAGGGAACACAUAGAUUCUAUCAUUGAAACCAAACUAACAUUGUGCAGAAAGCACACAGGACUCAGAUGUAUACACUGAGACCUUUGCUGCUUCCUGAUCCUAGGCCAAAGCCACGGCUGAAAAAGGACCAAGGGGUCUUAGUGGAGAUAUCACCCCAGUGAGUCACCUCAAAGGAUUUAAGGGAACUGUGUAGGGCUUGAUUUAGACAAAACACAGUGGGCACAAGAGUCAGAGAGGACGUCAGUGUGCAAACUAAGGGAAAAGGAGUGUUCCUUCUUUCUGGCUGAGGAGGAAGUGGGUAUGAGAGAUGAGGCUCAGAGUUCUGGCUCUGGCGCCUGAGGUGUAGACCCCUCUCCAGCAGCAAAGCUGGCUCGUGUUUCCUAUGGAGCCCAGGCAUUCUGGGCAGAUUCAAAGACCAUCUUCCGCACAGGAGCCCCCUGUUCUCAAUGCACUUAUUUUUGUGAUGUUUGCAGUCCCAGCCCCUAUCGACACACAAGAAAAGGAAGCUGCAAAGGAGAAGGAAAGGUGAGUCAAAGGCACACCCAGGAGGGGAACAGGAGGAGGGAGCAGAGGCAACUCAGAAAAUCAGAGGUGACAGAGAAAGGAGGCCGAGCUAGGAACUGUGAACAAGCAGGCCCAGAGGGACGUGCGGGGACAGGGGUGAAGGAGGAGCAGACAGCAGCCCAGAAAAGUCACAGAGGAAGCGAAGCGAGGAAGUCCUCUCUAAGCUAGAUAAUGUCAGUGAUGGAAGUAAGAAGAGCCUCCUCUGGGACAUGGCGUUUAUACAUGGGAAGAAUGGCAUGGCAAGUGUAACACCUCAGAAGGUGACGAGUGACAAGGACGGAGCAUCAACAACACCAACAACAAAAAAUUAAAAAAAAAAUGUGCCA
rnacentral:lncRNA from 1 species